rnacentral:misc_RNA from 1 species
AUUUGACAAACCCUCAGUCGGAGGUCCCGCCUGAUGUACAUUCUAAUCAUCAUUGGGGCUUCUGAGUGUAAAGUUCAAAGCUUUAUCAGUUCUGAAUCGGCAGUGCAGGUAAAGUAGAGGAUAUCAGGCUAUCUUGUACAACAGCUGUUUAUACCGACACGGCGAUUGGGUAACACAUGUGACUGACACAUAAAAUAUCCCGAACUUUCAGUGUGAUCGUUCUUUGGCAGUCACCUUCCUGUUCACCUUGCUGCUCACCUUGCAGCAUCUAACUGAUCGUUGGCGUUUGACAGUGACCCCAACAACGCUGUACGGUUUGGCCUGAACCAGACUUGGCCUGCGUUCGCGGAGCCAGGGGAACACUAUCUACUGCUGAACACCACCAUGUCCGUGCAGUCCAGCCCCUUCAAGGACAGGGUUAAGUUAUGG